GCCUCAGGCCCCUGAAUAGCUGGGAUUACAGGUGCUCACCACCACACCCAGCUAAUUUUUGUAUUUUUAGUAGAGAUGGGGUUUCACCAUGUUGGCCAGGCUGGUCUCAAACUCCUGACCUCAAGUGAUCCACCCACCUCAGCCUCCCAAAGUGCUGGGAUUACAGGAGUGAGCCACCGCACCCAGCCCCACUAAGCAUUAAACUUCUUUGAGUUUCUUAAGGCAGUAGAGGAGGCGACAGUAUUUAAAGAUGGGGGAGGAUGGCAGGUCGGAUUGCUGAGCCCCUUCCUGCUCCCUGGUCCUAAGUGACAGCAGGGAGAGCUGUAAGCCGAGGGAGAAGGGCCGUCCAUCCUGCGGCACUCAGCAGAGCGUGUACUGAAUUUGAUGGGAAACCCGGUUAUCAGACACAUUCCUAAUUACAGAAGGACAGUCACUGUACGACUAAAGCACUUAACAUACCUGGAUGAUAGACCAGUGUUUCCAAAGGACAGAGCUUGUGCGGAGGCCUGGGCUAGGGGAGGGUACGCAGCUGAAAAGGAGGAGAGACAGCAGUGGGAGAGCAGGGAGCGGAAGAAGGUCACGGACAGCAUUGAAGCCUUGGCCGUGAUCAAGCGGCGGGCGGAGGAGAGGAAAGGACAGAGAGAGAGCCAAGAGAGAGGUAUGUGCUUGCUCGAAGACAACAGCCCCAGAGUUCCUUUGAGAUUAGGGGAGACGACAUCUUCAGACGAUGGUGAGAAUGUCCCCGCCAGUGCGGAAGGCAAGGAGGAGCCUCCGCGGGACAGAGAAACAAGGGAGAAGAUGGAGCUGUUUGUUAAGGAAAGCUUUGAGGCCAAGGACGAGCUCUGCCCGGAAAAGCCAAGUGGAGGAGAGGAGCCACCUGUGGAGGUUAAAGGAGAAGAUGGAGGUGGAGAGCCAGAGGGGACCCUCCCAGCUGAGGCCCUGCCACCCCCACCACCUGUGGAGGUUAAAGGAGAGGAUGGAGGUGGAGAGCCAGAGGGGACCCUCCCAGCUGAGGCCCUGCCACCCCCACCACCUGUGGAGGUUAAAGGAGAGGAUGGAGGUGGAGAGCCAGAGGGGACCCUCCCAGCUGAGACCCCGCUACUGUCACUGCCUGUGGAGGUUAAAGGAGAGGAUGGAGAUGAAGAGCCAGAGGGGACCCUCCCAGUUGAGGCCCAGCCACCGCUGCCCCUGGGAGCUGCCAGGGAAGAGCCGACUCCCCAGGCUGUGGCCACUGAGGGUGUAUUCGUUACAGAACUUGAUGGAAUGAGAACGGAAGAUUUAGAAACCAUUAGACUGGAGACAAAGGAGACAUUCUGCAUUGAUGACCUACCUGACUUGGAAGAUGACGAUGAAACAGGCAAAUCUCUGGAAGACCAGAAUAUAUGCUUUCCGAAGAUUGAGGUCAUCUCGAGCUUGAGUGAUGACAGUGACCCUGAACUGGACUACACGUCACUCCCUGUGCUGGAAAACCUGCCCACAGACACUCUGUCAAAUAUAUUUGCAGUCUCUAAAGACACCUCAAAGGUGGCUCGGGUGCCCUUCACAGACAUCUUUAAAAAAGAAGCUAAGAGGGACUUGGAAAUCCGAAAACAAGACACCAAGUCCCCAAGACCCCUGAUCCAGGAGCUCAGCGACGAGGACCCCUCUGGCCAGCCACUGAUGCCCCCCACCUGCCAAAGAGAUGCUGCACCAGUCACUUCCAGUGGAGACGGGGACAGCGACUUCCUUGCAGCCUCUUCUCCGGUGCCGACUGAGCGCACCACCACACCCUCAGAGACGUGUGUCGGAGUUGCCCAGCCCAGCCCAGCUCUGCCCACGUGGGACCUUGCUGCAUUCCCAGCACCGAAAGCAUCAUAGUUUUCCCCAGUUAUAUGUAGCAUAAAUGGUUUAGUUAUAAAUGUCUCCUUUAGGCAUGAUAAACAUUUGAACACCC
rnacentral:sRNA from 1 species